CAAGUGCUUUAGGGGUGUCCUGGCAGAGGACUGAGAUCAUACCCUUGUUACCUGAUACGGUUAGUACCGUCGUAGGGAAAAGCUAUGAUUCUUCC
rnacentral:ncRNA from 1 species